rnacentral:lncRNA from 1 species
CAUAAAUCCUCCUUACUUUGGAGCCUCCCCAGUGUUUUAAGUUUUCUGGACCCCCCUGGUGUUCUCAUCUCUUUGUGUACCUCACCAGAAAAAAAAAAACUCAAUUUAUUACCCAACCUGACCAUUCACUCUUUCACAUGAUAUCUGGAACUCCUAAUCUCACAUUAGCCAAAGGUCUAUACUCCUUAAACACUUCUCUGAAUGUUUUUUUCUAUUUCCUUUCUACUCAAAACCAGGCUAUCUUCUGAGAGUACUGCUUUCCUAGCCUGUCUAGUGUUUGUUUCUUUUCCCCACAUACUUCAUAUUAUUGGAGCAGGUGGCUUCUCUCCUUCCUCUCCUUUGCAGCUCCCACAUACUGAAAAUCAUAUGCACUUUAAAGGAGAUCUUUAGAUUAUACCCCCUGCUGCCCCUUUUAUGUGGCAGCUAUCCACUGCUUCCCUGGUAAUGCCACCUUCUUCACUUGACCGUGCCACUUGUCCAUCACCCCUUUAUGUCCUUACUUCCCUUCUUACGGAGCCUAGAUUCUCUGGCUCACCCCUACCUUCACUCUAUUGUAUGUAUUCACAGUCCUCACAGCUCUCUCUCCUUCCUCUCGCCUAGCAAUCUUGAUCCUGGUUAAACCCAACUCUCUUCCACCUCUUCCUUGUUCCUGAGCAGCUAAACCUGGAGGAGAAAACCACACAGCCACACUGGCUGCUCCUCAACCCUACUAAAUAUCUGUUAUCAGUGCACUCAGCCACACCCCCCUGAUGAUUAUUUCAUUUCUUUUCUCUCCUUCAAUGCCUCCUUUUCCAAAAUCCUCACUGUCACUCUCAGUUGCUG